rnacentral:lncRNA from 1 species
ACAAUGUCACUGGGACUCAAGUAUUCCUUUCCUGUGAGGUGAAGGCUGUGCCCACCCCGGUCAUCACCUGGAAGAAGUGCAUGCUUUCUCUGCAUGGAACAGGUCAAGCACUCUCCAGAGGGCACCGAGGGGUUGGAGGAGUUGCCCGGAGACCAUGUCAAUAUAGCUGUCCAGGUGCGAGGGGGCCCUUCUGACCAUGAGACCACAUCCUGGAUUUUGAUCAACCCUCUGAGGAAGGAAGAUGAGGGAGUGUACCACUGCCACGCAGCCAACGCCAUUGGAGAGGCUCAGUCCCACGGCACGGUGACGGUCCUCGAUCUGAACAGAUACAAAAGCCUCUACUCCUCAGUUCCGGGUGACCUCCUGUGACGAACGUGGUACAUUCACAUCCAAAGCCAUUUCUCUCACCCAUAGCAUAGGAGGACGUAGGUGGUUUAUUAGAGGGCCUGUAAGAAAGAAGAGAAAGGUGUAAGUCUGGGAACCCGAGGGAGGGCAGAGAGCGGGCAGUCUGAAGGCUGGCAAGUGGAAGCUCGGCUGUGUACCAUACAGGCAUCUCCUGAGUUUCCCAGAAUGCAAAGCUAAGGGCUGUGAGCAUGAAGGCCCACAAGCUGAAAAAGCCAGAUUG